rnacentral:rRNA from 1 species
GAACUUAAGCAUAUCAAUAAGCGGAGGAAAAGAAACCAACAGGGAUUGCCUCAGUAACGGCGAGUGAAGCGGCAACAGCUCAAAUUUGAAAUCUGGCCGCAAGGUCCGAGUUGUAAUUUGUAGAGGAUGCUUUUGGCGAGGUGCCUUCCGAGUUCCCUGGAACGGGACGCCAUAGAGGGUGAGAGCCCCGUACGGUAGGACCACCAAGCCUCUGUAAAGCUCCUUCGACGAGUCGAGUAGUUUGGGAAUGCUGCUCUAAAUGGGAGGUGUACGUCUUCUAAAGCUAAAUACCGGCCAGAGACCGAUAGCGCACAAGUAGAGUGAUCGAAAGAUGAAAAGCACUUUGAAAAGAGGGUUAAAAAGUACGUGAAAUUGUUGAAAGGGAAGCAUUCAUGACCAGACUUGGGCUUGGUUGAACAUCCGGCGUUCUCGCCGGUGCACUCUGCCAGUCCAGGCCAGCAUCAGUUUGCCCCGGGGGAUAAAGGCGGCGGGAAUGUGGCUCCCUUCGGGGAGUGUUAUAGCCCGUCGUGUAAUGCCCUGGGGCGGACUGAGGAACGCGCUUCGGCACGGAUGCUGGCGUAAUGGUCAUCAAUGACCCGUCUUGAAACACGGACCAAGGAGUCGUCUUCGUAUGCGAGUGUUCGGGUGUCAAACCCCUACGCGUAAUGAAAGUGAACGUAGGUGAGAGCUUCGGCGCAUCACCGACCGAUCCUGAUGUUCUCGGAUGGGUUUGAGUAAGAGCAUACGGGGCCGGACCCGAAA